rnacentral:rRNA from 1 species
GACGAACGCUGGCGGCGUGCUUAACACAUGCAAGUCGAACGAUGAACCCGGAGCUUGCUCCGGUGGAUUAGUGGCGAACGGGUGAGUAACACGUGAGUAACCUGCCCUUGACUCUGGGAUAACUGCGGGAAACUGUAGCUAAUACCGGAUACGACCCUCGGCGGCAUCGCCAGGGGGUGGAAAGAAUUUCGGUCAAGGAUGGACUCGCGGCCUAUCAUCUAGUUGGUGAGGUAACGGCGCACCAAGGCGACGACGGGUAGCCGGCCUGAGAGGGUAACCGGCCACACUGGGACUGAGACACGGCCCAGACUCCUACGGGAGGCAGCAGUGGGGAAUAUUGCACAAUGGGCGCAAGCCUGAUGCAGCAACGCCGCGUGAGGGAUGACGGCCUUCGGGUUGUAAACCUCUUUUAGUAGGGAAGAAGCGAAAGUGACGGUACCUGCAGAAAAAGCACCGGCUAACUACGUGCCAGCCGCCGCCGUAA